rfam:Triticum aestivum genome assembly, contig: Triticum_aestivum_CS42_TGACv1_scaffold_457273_5DS
UUUGUACUCCCUCCGUCCCAAAAAUCUUGUCUUAGAUUUGUCUAAAUACGGAUGUAUUAAGUCACGUUUUAGCAUUAGGUACAUCCGUAUCUAGAUCAAUUUAAGACAAGAAUUCUGGGACGAAGGGAGUAGUAU